AUAAAAAAUUAAAAAUUUUAAAAAUAUGAAAAGUAGAUAGAAAUUAUUUUUUGAUUUGGUGUUUUUAGACUUGAGGAUUUUGUUAUUUUAGUGUAAUUCACUUGGUGUGAUCUAAAACGUGCCGCAUUCUAGGUAACUAUGUAUGAAACUAAUUUGACUCCAAUUCUUAUGGGGUCCAUGACAUGGAAAAUUUAACAGUGCAGGUUUUUUUCUUUUUUCCUCAUCACCAUUUUUGUUCUUCCUCUUUUUCAUUGUCAUUGUCUUAUUCUUUGUCCUUUUGGCAAAUCAGCAAAUGGCAAAAGGAAAGAGAGAACUUUUCUGGUUGUUUGUUCUUCUUUUGAAAUGAUGAGAUGGUGUUGCUCGUAACAUGAUUGGUUUGCUGUUGGGCUUGUUCAAAGUUCAUUUUUUGAUGUUGUUUGACUUCUAUAUGUAGGUAUACUCCUAUAUCAGACCCAGAUGCCAAGGGAUAUUUUGACUUAUUAAUUAAGGUUUAUCCUGAGGGCAAAAUGAGUCAGCAUUUUGCCAGCUUAAAGCCUGAUGAUGUUGUUGAAGUUAAAGGGCCCAUUGAAAAG
rnacentral:misc_RNA from 1 species